GUUAAGCGACUAAGCGUACACGGUGGAUGCCCUGGCAGUCAGAGGCGAUGAAGGACGUGCUAAUCUGCGAUAAGCGUCGGUAAGGUGAUAUGAACCGUUAUAACCGGCGAUUUCCGAAUGGGGAAACCCAGUGUGUUUCGACACACUAUCAUUAACUGAAUCCAUAGGUUAAUGAGGCGAACCGGGGGAACUGAAACAUCUAAGUACCCCGAGGAAAAGAAAUCAACCGAGAUUCCCCCAGUAGCGGCGAGCGAACGGGGAGCAGCCCAGAGCCUGAAUCAGUGUGUGUGUUAGUGGAAGCGUCUGGAAAGGCGCGCGAUACAGGGUGACAGCCCCGUACACAAAAAUGCACAUAUUGUGAGCUCGAUGAGUAGGGCGGGACACGUGGUAUCCUGUCUGAAUAUGGGGGGACCAUCCUCCAAGGCUAAAUACUCCUGACUGACCGAUAGUGAACCAGUACCGUGAGGGAAAGGCGAAAAGAACCCCGGCGAGGGGAGUGAAAAAGAACCUGAAACCGUG
rnacentral:rRNA from 1 species